GGGGAAUCUUCCGCAAUGGACGAAAGUCUGACGGAGCAACGCCGCGUGAGUGAUGACGGCCUUCGGGUUGUAAAGCUCUGUUAAUCGGGACGAAAGGUCUUCUUGCGAAUAGUUAGAAGAAUUGACGGUACCGGAAUAGAAAGCCACGGCUAACUACGUGCCAGCAGCCGCGGUAAUACGUAGGUGGCAAGCGUUGUCCGGAAUUAUUGGGCGUAAAGCGCGCGCAGGCGGAUCAGUUAGUCUGUCUUAAAAGUUCGGGGCUUAACCCCGUGAUGGGAUGGAAACUGCUGAUCUAGAGUAUCGGAGAGGAAAGUGGAAUUCCUAGUGUAGCGGUGAAAUGCGUAGAUAUUAGGAAGAACACCAGUGGCGAAGGCGACUUUCUGGACGAAAACUGACGCUGAGGCGCGAAAGCCAGGGGAGCGAACGGGAUUAGAUACCCCGGUAGUCCUGGCCGUAAACGAUGGGUACUAGGUGUAGGAGGUAUCGACCCCUUCUGUGCCGGAGUUAACGCAAUAAGUACCCCGCCUGGGGAGUACGACCGCAAGGUUG
rnacentral:rRNA from 1 species